rnacentral:tRNA from 1 species
GCAUCCUAAGUGUUGAAGGUGGCACAGCGUCCUUCCAAGUCGCAGGGACCGGUUCGAGACCGGUAGGAUGCUCCA